CUAGAUUCUCAGUUGAUCCACUUGGCUCUGAAUCCCAAGCUCAGCGUUCUUUCAGAGCAAACGAGUUCGAGGACUCUUCAGCAACUCCACACCCGACGACACAGCGUGUUCAUUUCGUGGGCAUUCUUGGAGCUCAGACAUUGUGCACUUCUCUGUAUGAAUUAUGCUCAACUAAAAGGUUUACUUUAAAAAGGUAAAUCAAAAGUAUUCUGUACGUAUAACUGUAUAACUGAAUCACUUUGCUGUACACCUGAAACUAACAACAUCGUUCCA